rnacentral:rRNA from 1 species
GACGAACGCUGGCGGCGUGCUUAACACAUGCAAGUCGAACGGAAAGGCCCUUCGGGGUACUCGAGUGGCGAACGGGUGAGUAACACGUGGGUGAUCUGCCCUGCACUUUGGGAUAAGCCUGGGAAACUGGGUCUAAUACCGAAUAUGAUCAUGCUCUUCAUGGGGUGUGGUGGAAAGCUUUUGCGGUGUGGGAUGGGCCCGCGGCCUAUCAGCUUGUUGGUGGGGGAAUGGCCUACCAAGGCGACGACGGGUAGCCGGCCUGCGAGGGUGACCGGCCACGCUGGGACUGCGCUACGGCCCAGACUCCGACGGGAGGCAGCAGUGGGGAAUAUUGCACAAUGGGCGCAAGCCUGAUGCAGCGACGCCGCGUGAGGGAUGACGGCCUUCGGGUUGUAAACCUCUUUCAGCACAGACGAAGCGCGAGUGACGGUAUGUGCAGAAGAAGGACCGGCCAACUACGUGCCAGCCGCCGCGGUAA